rnacentral:sRNA from 1 species
ACACGGGAAAGGAGGUGGUCCGGAGAUGGUUCAUUCCAGGACGCGUGAGGUGGCUGUCCGCUAGCCGCCCGUCGAACCAGGACGGACUGCCUUCGUCCAGGCCCCGAGCGGCCGAGCGAGUACAGGCAGCCACCGCAGCCCGUGGGAGCCGCGACAUCGUCCAGCGCGGCAGGGUCCCCGUCAGGGGACCCGGCCCACGGGCUGUUCCAU